UCCGGCGUCGCCCAACGGCAGGGCACACGGCUGUUCACCGUCCAGGUCCCGGUUCGAAUCCGGGCGCCGGAG
rnacentral:tRNA from 1 species